rnacentral:rRNA from 1 species
UACGUAGGGACCGAGCGUUGUCCGGAUUCAUUGGGCGUAAAGAGCUCGUAGGCGGCUGUUCAAGUCGAAUGUGAAAACUCGGAGCUCAACUCCGAGCCUGCGUUCGAUACUGGACGGCUAGAGUCUGGUAGGGGGAUCUGGAAUUCCUGGUGUAGCGGUGGAAUGCGCAGAUAUCAGGAAGAACACCUAUGGCGAAGGCAGCACUCUGGGACGGUACUGACGCUGAGACGCGAAAGCGUGGGGAGCGAACAGG